AUGAGGUUCCAGCAGACUAUCACAGAAAAAGUGAACUGAGGUGUAACUGAGGUUCCUCGAAUUUUUCAUCAUCCACCAGAUCAGUACCCUAUUCAGGAUUCCAAUGAUCCAGAAGAAACCCAUUGGGGCAAUCCAGUCAUUGAUCUUGAAGGCCUUCUUGAUUCAACUAAACAGAAGGAGAUUGUUGCGAAAGUUGGAGAGGCAUCAGAGACAUGGGGCUUCUUUCAGAUAGUCAACCAUAGAAUACCUGUUGAUGUUCUUGAGGAGGUAAAAAAUGGGGUACGCCGUUUUUUUGAGCAACACACUGAGGUGAAGAAGCAGCUUUAUGGUCAAGAUCACUUCAGGAAUCCUAUGAUCUACAAUAGCAACUUUGAUCUGUAUAGUGCACUGGCAACUAAUUGGACAUGGCUCCAACUCCUACAAAGCCAGAAGACUUACCAGAAGUUUGCAGAAACAUACUUGUUGAGUACUCAGACCAAGUGAUGAAGUUAGGGAAGCUAUUGUUCGAGUUGUUGUCUGAAGCUCUUGGAUUGAAGCCAACUUACUUGAAUAACAUAGAUUGCAGUGAGGGGCUUGUGUUAUUGAGCCAUUACUAUCCCCCUUGUCCACAGCCAGAACUAACUCUAGGCACAACCAAACAUGCUGAUAAAUCCUUCCUUACUGUUCUUCUGCAAGACCAUAUUGGUGGUCUUCAAGUCCCUCACCAGAAUAAGUGGAUUGAUGUACCCCCCGUGCUGGGGCUCUUGUGGUUAACAUUGGAGAUCUUCUGCAGGCAAAAUGA